rnacentral:lncRNA from 1 species
CUUCUUGGUAUUUCUUGAUGAUGGCCACUGUUGUUAAGGUGAUUGUACUGUGAUCUCUUACUGUAGCCUUGUUGGUAAAACACUGUGAUCUCCUGUAUUGGCCUUUAGUUGGACCGAGAGAACACUAUUUCCUUGGCAUCAGAGGCUCCAUUGGUACUAACUUUGCAUCACUGGUUCAUGAACGACUAGGACAUGAUAGUAGCCCAAUCGCUACCAACAAAACGAAUACUCCCAACCAACACGGCUCUUUUCAACCAAUUAAGUUGUGCUUCUACUCAAGGCAGAUUGAAGAGAUUGCUUGGCUGAAAAAACAGUUUCAGUAGUUUGACAGAGAGACAAGAGCAAGCUAGUACCUGGAGGCCGUUCUCUGGAGAUAUCAGAGAUAUCUUAUCACUGGUGACACUACUCAACAGUCAGAGCACAAGCCGCUGAGUGAGCCGCUGUUCAUGGUACAUCCAACCUCUU